rnacentral:sRNA from 1 species
CUGGCAAUUUUGGAAAUUGAAGUCUUCUGCUCAUCCACAAAAUAGGUACAGCAUGGGCAGCAAAAGUGAAAAUGUUCCCACAAUGUCCUGCCAGCAUUCCUCGACUUGGACAUUGUGGGAACAUUUUCCUCGACUUAUCUCCAGAGGAAAUGAGUGCUUCAUUCCCUAUUCCCUUCAGUUCUUGGCCUCU